rnacentral:rRNA from 1 species
UACGAAGGGGGGCUAGCGUUGUUCGGAUUUACUGGGCGUAAAGCGCACGUAGGCGGUUUGUUAAGUCAGAGGUGAAAUCCCGGAGCUCAACUCCGGAACUGCCUUUGAUACUGGCAAGCUAGAGUCCGGAAGAGGUAAGUGGAACUCCUAGUGUAGAGGUGGAAUUCGUAGAUAUUAGGAAGAACACCAGUGGCGAAGGCGGCUUACUGGUCCGGAACUGACGCUGAGGUGCGAAAGCGUGGGGAGCAAACAGGAUUAGAUACCCG